CCGCCGGUAGAGACCAUCCACCUGACGCCGUGGGAUCUCAAGUCUAUCACGGUGGAGCACAUCCAGAAGGGUGUCCUCCUGCCCAAGCCUCCCACUACUGGAGGACACGUCGACGUCGAGCGUCUAGCUUCUUCCUUUGGGCGCGCCCUUGGCCGCUUCUACCCAUACGCCGGGCGCCUCGACGCCGCCGUCGUGCCGUGCCAGAGCCUCACCAUUUCGCUCCGCUGCGGCGGCGAGGGCGCCGAGUUCAUCCACGCCGUGGCUCCCAGCGUCACCGUCGCCGACAUCACCGCCUCGCUCUUGGUUCCGCGGGUGGUGUGGUCCUUCUUCCCGCUCGACGGGCUGCUGGGUGCGGACGCCAUUGAGGGGUCGCUCCCGCUCCUGGCCGCACAGGUCACUGAGCUCGCCGACAGCGUCUUCAUCGCCGUUUCGAUGAACCACAGCGUCGCGGACGGUAUGACAUUCUGGCAAUUCUUCAAC
rnacentral:rRNA from 1 species